rnacentral:rRNA from 1 species
CGGACAGGUGAGUAACACGUGGAUAACCUACCUAUAAGACUGGGAUAACUUCGGGAAACCGGAGCUAAUACCGGAUAAUAUAUUGAACCGCAUGGUUCAAUAGUGAAAGACGGUUUUGCUGUCACUUAUAGAUGGAUCCGCGCCGCAUUAGCUAGUUGGUAAGGUAACGGCUUACCAAGGCAACGAUGCGUAGCCGACCUGAUAGGGUGAUCGGCCACACUGGAACUGAGACACGGUCCAG